CAGUCGCCACGGUAAUACGGAGGGUGCAAGCGUUAAUCGGAAUUACUGGGCGUAAAGGGCGCGUAGGCGGGUUUUUAAGUCAGAGGUGAAAUCCCAAGGCUCAACCUUGGAACUGCCUUUGAUACUGGAAGUCUUGAGUCCGGGAGAGGUGAGUGGAACUGCGAGUGUAGAGGUGAAAUUCGUAGAUAUUUGCAAGAACACCAGUGGCGAAGGCGGCUCACUGGCCCGGUACUGACGCUGAGGUGCGAAAGCGUGGGGAGCAAACAGGAUUAGAUACCCCCGUAGUCCCUGUCUCUUAUAC
rnacentral:rRNA from 1 species